rnacentral:tRNA from 1 species
GGGACUGUGGCUCAGUGGUAGAGUGCUUACUUAGCAUGCAUGAAGCCCUGGGUUUGAUUCCUCAGUACCA